UGUACCUGAGCUUAAACGGAGCCCCUACAUUUCGCGUGCCGUUAUUCUGUUCUUAUCAAGUGAGAAACAGUCUGUGCUGAGGACCCAGUCUCGUGCCCAGGUGGAGGCUUUCCCCCCGAUUGGAGUGUCGUGUCCUGGUGAAGGGAUUCAUGUGUGAGUGUACAAUAUCACGCGUGUGGGGUAAAUUAUAUAUAUUUUUUGUUUUUGGGGCCUCCACCUUACGCAGCUAAACGUGCCUCAGCUAACUGACCUUUUCCCCAUUUAAUUGUGUUUUUAGAAUUUUUAUUGUAAUAAAAAUUUGAUUUUAACUCUGAGCCACGCCUCCUGCCUUUGUGUGCAAUCGACCUAUUGGACGGUACUCGUACCUUUUCACCAUACCACAAUAGUGUACUAAAUAAAGCUACAGAGCUGUGGCUGCUAAACUGUUGGACAAGGAAAAAGGUUGAAGGAAUUAAACAAGCUCCCUCCUGAGUUAAACCUACUUAGAAAGCAAAAUUAACUUCUAAACUAUCACCCCAGCUUCCAACUGCUUAUUCCUACAUCAGCUGCAUUUCUUUUCUAGCAUUAAAAAUACCUUUGUUCUAACAUCCUUUCUUGAACAUAGCAUUCAAACUACAGGACAUCCAAAGAUUAUUUCCAUCUAAUUACUCUGAUAUACUAUCUCUCAUUUUAUUGAUAGAGUCGCUAUCAAACCUGAAAAGCCAUAAAUAAAUGCAGAGAAAAAAGAUGCUCGAAUUCUCCAGAGCUCUGGGAUGUUAUGUUUGUUGUCUGGUAACAGCUGAGCUGAUGACAUCACACACACUGUCUGCAGCAGCUGAAGACUUCAUAUAACCAAUCAGCUGCUGCUGACAAAGUAACACAUACAAGCUCUGAAAACCCACACCCUAGAGCUAAAGAUGUACAGUCAGGGGAUUUUUGAAGGAGUGUUAAUCUGGAUCAGUCUCAUUCAGGGUAAAACCUUACUCAAACAACAAAGGAAGU